AGGACUACCAUGGUGAUAACGGGUAACGGAGAAUUAGGGUUCGAUUCCGGAGAGGGGGCCUGAGAAAUGGCUACCACUUCUAAGGAGGGCAGCAGGCGCGCAAAUUACCCAAUCCUAAUACGGGGAGGUAGUGACAAUAAAUAACAAUGCUGGAUCUAUGAUUUAGUAAUUGGAAUGAGAACAAUUUAAACCCCUUAUCGAGUAACCAUCAGAGGGCAAGUCUGGUGCCAGCAGCCGCGGUAAUUCCAGCUCUGAUAGCGUAUAUUAAAGUUGUUGCAGUUAAAAAGCUCGUAGUUGGAUUUUAGGAUCAAUGAGUAUGGUCGGUUGUGAUAAACAAUCUUGUACUGUAUUUGUUAUCCUUUCCUACUGGUUACUCGACUCUGUCCUUUACUGGAUGGAGUAGUAUCGCAAGGUAUCGCUUGGUGUUAUGUUGCUUUUAAUCGUAGUAAUUGGGUAAAACUGGUUAUGAAAAUUAGGGGAUCACAGUAUAAUAUUAAGUGGGGUUCCAGUUCAUUUACUUUGAGUAAAUUAGAGUGUUCAAAGCAGCCUCUUGGGGCAUUGAAUAGAUUAGCAUGGGAUAAUAGAAUAGGACCUUUGUCUUUUUAUUGGUUUAAAGAUUUGAGGUAAUGAUUAAUAGGGAUAGUUGGGGGCACUUGUAUUCAAUAGUCAGAGGUGAAAUUCUAGGAUUUAUUGAAGACAAACUUCAGCGAAAGCAUUUGCCAAGGAUGUUUUCAUUAAUCAAGAACGAAAGUUAGGGGAUCGAAGACGAUUAGACACCGUCGUAGUCUUAACUAUAAACUAUGCCGACCAGGGAUAUGAGGAUUAGAUUUAUAUUAUUGAUUUAAUAUAAUUCCUUGUGCACCUUGUGAGAAAUCAUAAGUUUUUGGGUUCUGGGGGGAGUAUGGUCGCAAGGCUGAAACUUAAAGGAAUUGACGGAGGGGCACCACCAGGAGUGGAGCCUGCGGCUUAAUUUGACUCAACACGGGAAAACUUACCAGGUCCAGACAUUAGAAGGAUUGACAGAUUGAGAGCUCUUUCUUGAUUCUAUGGGUGGUGGUGCAUGGCCGUUCUUAGUUGGUGGAGUGAUUUGUCUGGUUAAUUCCGAUAACGAACGAGACCUCUGCCUUUAAAUAGAGAUAAUUAUAUGAAAGUAUAAUUAGCAAAAACUCUUCUUAAAGGGACUUUUGGUUUUUAAUCCAAAGGAAGUUUGAGGCAAUAACCGGUCUGUGAUGCCCUUAGAUGUUCUGGGCCGCACGCGCGCUACACUGAUUAGUUCAAAGAGUAUAUUUAUUUAGUCCUUCUCUGAAAAGAGCGGGUAAUCUUUUAAAGCUAAUCGUGAUGGGGAUAGAUGAUUGCAAUUAUUCAUCUUGAACGAGGAAUUCCUAGUAAGCGUAAGUCAUCAGCUUACGUUGAUUACGUCCCUGCCCCUUGUACACACCGCCCGUCGCUACUACCGAUUGGAUGAUCCGGUGAAAUCUCUGGAUUGCGAUAAAAUACUGUGGGUAACUACAGUUUUAUUGUAAGAAGUUGAGUAAACCUUAUCAUCUAGAGGAAGUAAAAGUCGUAACAAGGUU
rnacentral:rRNA from 1 species